rnacentral:misc_RNA from 1 species
GAAGUGCGAUAAGCAAUGCGAAUUGCAGAAUUCUGUGAAUCAUCAGAUCUUUGAACGCAAAUGGCACUGCAGGGAACCCCCGGCAGUAUGUUUGUUUCAGCGUCUGUUAACAACCUCAUCAAACAACAUGUUUGUUUGGUGGACUAAUGAGUGUGAAGCAGCAAUGCCUCUCACUUGAAAUGUAUAAGCUGGGAUCACACUAUGGUCUUACUAUAGAAAUGUAGUAGUCACAUUUAAUGUGAACCUCAUCUCUAUAGUUAAGAUCGUGACUCUCGUAUGCUUUACUGCUGCUAGCCUUGGUUAGCACACUAACACUAAGACCUGAAAUCAAGCAAGAUUACCCGCUGAAUUUAA